UGCCGGAAUAGCUCAGUUGGUAGAGCAGAGGACUGA
rnacentral:tRNA from 1 species